rnacentral:rRNA from 1 species
UACGUAGGGGGCAAGCGUUGUCCGGAUUUAUUGGGCGUAAAGAGCGUGUAGGCGGCCAGAUAGGUCCGUUGUGAAAACUGGAGGCUUAACCUCCAGCUGUCGAUGGAAACCAUCUGGCUAGAGUCCGGAAGAGGAGAGUGGAAUUCCUGGUGUAGCGGUGAAAUGCGCAGAUAUCGGGAGGAACACCUAUGGCGAAGGCAGCUCGCUGGGACGUUACUGACGCUGAGACGCGAAAGCGUGGGGAGCAAACAGG